UACGUAGGGUGCAAGCGUUGCCCGGAUUUAUUGGGCGUAAAGGGCGCGUAGGCGGCUCGGAACGUCCGUUGUGAAAUCGCCCGGCUCAACUGAGCGGGUCAGCCGGAUACGGUCGAGCUUGAGCAGCUAGGGGCAAUGGAAUCCCGGUGUAGUGGUGGAAUGCGUAGAUAUCGUCAAGAACACCGAUAGCGAAGGCAGCUUACUGGGCUGUAACUGACGCUGAGACGCGAAGCGUGGGAGCAAACAGG
rnacentral:rRNA from 1 species